AUACAUAGUUGGGCUGAUUCCUUUACUUAGCUCAGAAUAAAACGUUUGCUCAAAAAAAAAAAAAGCUCGGAAUAAAACGAGAAAGGUUGCCACAGGUGGGCUUCUAAGAAAUGUGUUUAUGGCUUACUGAGGAAAAGGAGACCGUUCUACAAAACAAAACAACAAAACUUAUCUCCAUCUCAAAAAAAAAAUGAGAACCUUUUUCGAAUGAAGAAAAAGAUGACUUGCCUC
rnacentral:lncRNA from 1 species